rnacentral:rRNA from 1 species
GAUGAACGCUGGCGGCGUGCCUAAUACAUGCAAGUCGAGCGAACAGAUGAGGAGCUUGCUCCUCUGACGUUAGCGGCGGACGGGUGAGUAACACGUGGAUAACCUACCUAUAAGACUGGGAUAACUUCGGGAAACCGGAGCUAAUACCGGAUAAUAUAUUGAACCGCAUGGUUCAAUAGUGAAAGACGGUUUUGCUGUCACUUAUAGAUGGAUCCGCGCCGCAUUAGCUAGUUGGUAAGGUAACGGCUUACCAAGGCAACGAUGCGUAGCCGACCUGAGGGGGGGAAGCGCCAACAUGGAACUGAGAAACGGGCCAGAACCCUACGGGGGGCAAGAGUGGGGAAUCUUCCGAAAGGGGGGAAAGCCUGACGGAGAAACGCCGCGGGAGUGAUGAAGGUCUUCGAAUCGUAAAACUCUUUUUUUAGGGAAGAAAAAAUGGGAAAAUAAAUAUGCAACUCUUGACGGUACCUAAUCAAAAAGCCACGGCUAACUGAGU